UACGGAGUGUGCAAGCGUUACUCGGAAUCACUGGGCAUAAAGCGCGCGUAGGCGGGUUUGCAAGUCGAUUGUAAAAUCCCUCAGCUCAACUGAGGAACUGCAGUCGAUACUGCUCACCUUGAGGACGAAAGGGGAGAGUGGAACUUCUGGUGGAGCGGUGAAAUGCGUAGAUAUCAGAAGGAACACCGGUGGCGAAAGCGACUCUCUGGUUCGUACCUGACGCUGAGGCGCGAAAGCUUGGGUAGCAAACGGG
rnacentral:rRNA from 1 species